rnacentral:snRNA from 1 species
AGCUUUGCACAGUGGCAGUGCUGCAGCCAGUGAGGAUCCAUCCGAGGCACGGUUCUUGCCAAUUGAAAACCCCUCCCAACGCCCCACCAUGACGACCCGAAAUACAGUAGGCGUUGGCAAUUUUUAAAGGUCUCUGUGGAGA